AAGGGCACCACAAGAACGCGUGGAGCAUGUGGCUUAAUUUGACUCAACGCGGGAAAUCUUACCGGGUCCGGACACAUUGAGGAUUGACAGGCGCAAAAUGGUGAACACUGUUUGUUGCUUUUCGGAGUAACAAGCAGUAUUAGCUAUUUCUAAAUAUGCUAGUCCUUUCAUGAUUGUGUGAUAGGUGGUGCAUGGCCGUUCUUAGUUCGUGGAGUGAUCUGUCUGCUUAAUUGCGUUUCAGAAAAUAGGUUCUUAGAGGUAAUUGUCUUUGCCUAACAUUUAUUUCAAGUACACUUCGGUGUGCUUUAGUUUAUGUUAGCGGACAGCCCUUGCAACCUUGAAGGCAACGAACGUGAUCGCAACCUCUUGUUGCCUUUCUUUCGUCUUUUUGGCGAACUGUUGCCUCGUGAUUUUUUCAAUGUCACUUUUUGUUGCCCGCUCGUAUGCUAGCGAGUGUUAGCAGUUGCGUUUGCUGUCCUAACGGGCGUGCGGCGUGCUGUUAGCGCGCGUUAGUUAUGCGAGAUGUAGCGGGCUUUUAGUGAAGAAUUGGAGGUCAUGGGGAUUUAAUAGAGCGAAAGUGCAAACUAGAGGGACCGCCGCAUUUUUUCAAAACGGAGGAAGGUUGCGGCAAUAACAGGUCUGUGAUGCCCUUAGAUGUUCCGGGCUGCACACGUGCUACAAUGAUUGUUGCAGUGAGCAUCUUCAAAACGUUCACGUGCGUGCGCUUUCGGGCGUGUGUUGCGUGACACUACCUACUUCGAAAGUAAGUAGGCAAUCAAUUCGAAGUAACGAUUUCCUUUGCACAGUUAACAAAUCUCGUGUUCGUUAGUACAGCUAAUGCGGCUAAUCUUCGGGUUGGUUUAGCACUGUACUCGCGCGAGAUGUGCUUCCAUUUAAUUCAUGGUGGGGACAGACCAUUGCAAUUGUUGGUCUCGGUCUUAACUAGGAAUGCCUUGUACGGGUCAUGGUUCAACAGACCACCCGGAAUAUGUCCCUGCCCUUUGUACACACCGCCCGUCGCUCUUACCGAUGGACUUCUCUGUGAGUUUGAGGGACUGGCUUUCGCAGCUAUGGAAACUCAAACGAACAGUGUGGUCUAAAGGAAAGAGAAGUCGUAACAAGGCAACGGUAGGUGAACCUGCAGAAGGAUCA
rnacentral:rRNA from 2 species